rnacentral:rRNA from 1 species
AAUGAACGCUGGCGGCAGGCCUAACACAUGCAAGUCGAACGCAUCCUUCGGGGUGAGUGGCGGACGGGUGAGUAACACGUGGGAACGUACCCUUUGCUACGGAAUAGUCUCGGGAAACUGGGGGUAAUACCGUAUGUGCCCUACGGGGGAAAGAUUUAUCGGCAAAGGAUCGGCCCGCGUUGGAUUAGGUAGUUGGUGGGGUAAUGGCCUACCAAGCCGACGAUCCAUAGCUGGUUUGAGAGGAUGACCAGCCACACUGGGACUGAGACACGGCCCAG